CAGCAGCCGCGGUAAUACGGAGGGUGCGAGCGUUAAUCGGAAUUACUGGGCGUAAAGCGUGCGCAGGCGGUUAUGCAAGACAGAUGUGAAAUCCCCGGGCUUAACCUGGGAACUGCAUUUGUGACUGCAUAGCUAGAGUGCGGCAGAGGGGGAUGGAAUUCCGCGUGUAGCAGUGAAAUGCGUAGAUAUGCGGAGGAACACCGAUGGCGAAGGCAAUCCCCUGGGCCUGCACUGACGCUCAUGCACGAAAGCGUGGGGAGCAAACGGGAUUAGAUACCCCGGUAGUCCACGCUGUAAACGGUGAUAGCUAGGUGUGGGGGGUAUCGACCCCUCCCGUGCCGACGAGAACUCAUUAAGCUAUCCGCCUGGGGAGUACGGCCGCAAGGUUGAAACUCAAAGGAAUUGACGG
rnacentral:rRNA from 1 species